rnacentral:lncRNA from 1 species
GUAAUUUGACAUUGUCCUUUUGGGUAGCUGAGGUUGCUUAUAGACCUGAGACUUCAGUUUGGGUAAAAAUGUUUAUGCUGGUAGACAUUGUCAAAUGACAAAACUAACAAGUCCGAUGUUCUUUCUUCAAGGGAACACAAUCCAUGGAUUGAGGGAAUACAGUGCCUCACAAGAAGUGAAAGUUCUUCAUAUGACAUCUUGGGAAAGAAUGAGGAACCCCAGCAGUCAGGCUCUGGAGACCUGUGCUACACUGUCGUGGAAUGCUGUAGGAUGUUGUGGGAUGCUGCCCAUGUCCCCCUUCAGACAGGACUGUGACUGCCAAGCAAGUGACCUACAUAGGCUGGAACCCAGCAACAACCAACGGUGCGGGCCAAACAUUCGCUCACCUGCUUGGCUGGUUUAAUUUUUCCCCUCAUCAGAUGGGCAUUAGAGAAGAGAUGGAUUCCUUGCCCAAAUUGGGUUUAAAGUGCACAGAAACUGAUUUUCUUCUUCGGAUUAGAAAGCUGGGAGAGGGGCACCUGGGUGACUCAGUGGGUAAAGCCUCUGCCUUCUGCUCAGGUCAUCAUCUCUGGGUCCUGGGAUCGAGCCCCGCAUCUGGCUUUCUGCUCAGCAAGGAGUGUGCUUCCCCCUCUCUCUCUGCCUGCCUCUCUGCCUACUUGUGUUCUCUCUCU